rnacentral:rRNA from 1 species
CCUACGGGGGGCAGCAGUGGGGAAUAUUGCACAAUGGGGGAAACCCUGAUGCAGCGACGCCGCGUGAGUGAAGAAGUAUCUCGGUACGUAAAGCUCUAUCAGCAGGGAAGAUAAUGACGGUACCUGACCAAGAAGCCCCGGCUAACUACGUGCCAGCAGCCGCGGUAAUACGUAGGGGGCAAGCGUUAUCCGGAUUUACUGGGUGUAAAGGGAGCGUAGACGGCAGCGCAAGUCUGGAGUGAAAUGCCGGGGCCCAACCCCGGAACUGCUCUGGAAACUGGGAAGCUGGAGUGCAGGAGAGGUAAGCGGAAUGCCGGGUGUAGCGGUGAAAUGCGUAGAUAUCAGGAGGAACACCGGCGGCGAAGGCGGCUUACUGGACUGUAACUGACGUUGAGGCUCGAAGGCGUGGGGAGCAAACAGGAUUAGAUACCCGGGUAGUC